rnacentral:rRNA from 1 species
GACGAACGCUGGCGGCGUGCCUAAUACAUGCAAGUAGAACGCUGAAGAGAGGAGCUUGCUCUUCUUGGAUGAGUUGCGAACGGGUGAGUAACGCGUAGGUAACCUGCCUUGUAGCGGGGGAUAACUAUUGGAAACGAUAGCUAAUACCGCAUAACAAUGGAUGACACAUGUCAUUUAUUUGAAAGGGGCAAUUGCUCCACUGCAAGAUGGACCUGCGUUGUAUUAGCUAGUAGGUGAGGUAAUGGCUCACCUAGGCGACGAUACAUAGCCGACCUGAGAGGGUGAUCGGCCACACUGGGACUGAGACACGGCCCAGACUCCUACGGGAGGCAGCAGUAGGGAAUCUUCGGCAAUGGGGGCAACCCUGACCGAGCAACGCCGCGUGAGUGAAGAAGGUUUUCGGAUCGUAAAGCUCUGUUGUAAGUCAAGAACGGGUGUGAGAGUGGAAAGUUCACACUGUGACGGUAGCUUACCAGAAAGGGACGGCUAACUACGUGCCAGCAGCCGCGGUAAUACGUAGGUCCCGAGCGUUGUCCGGAUUUAUUGGGCGUAAAGCGAGCGCAGGCGGUUUGAUAAGUCUGAAGUUAAAGGCUGUGGCUCAACCAUAGUUCGCUUUGGAAACUGUCAAACUUGAGUGCAGAAGGGGAGAGUGGAAUUCCAUGUGUAGCGGUGAAAUGCGUAGAUAUAUGGAGGAACACCGGUGGCGAAAGCUGCUCUCUGGUCUGUAACUGACGCUGAGGCUCGAAAGCGUGGGGAGCGAACAGGAUUAGAUACCCUGGUAGUCCACGCCGUAAACGAUGAGUGCUAGGUGUUGGAUCCUUUCCGGGAUUCAGUGCCGCAGCUAACGCAUUAAGCACUCCGCCUGGGGAGUACGACCGCAAGGUUGAAACUCAAAGGAAUUGACGGGGGCCCGCACAAGCGGUGGAGCAUGUGGUUUAAUUCGAAGCAACGCGAAGAACCUUACCAGGUCUUGACAUCCCGAUGCUAUUUCUAGAGAUAGAAAGUUACUUCGGUACAUCGGUGACAGGUGGUGCAUGGUUGUCGUCAGCUCGUGUCGUGAGAUGUUGGGUUAAGUCCCGCAACGAGCGCAACCCCUAUUGUUAGUUGCCAUCAUUCAGUUGGGCACUCUAGCGAGACUGCCGGUAAUAAACCGGAGGAAGGUGGGGAUGACGUCAAAUCAUCAUGCCCCUUAUGACCUGGGCUACACACGUGCUACAAUGGUUGGUACAACGAGUUGCGAGUCGGUGACGGCGAGCUAAUCUCUUAAAGCCAAUCUCAGUUCGGAUUGUAGGCUGCAACUCGCCUACAUGAAGUCGGAAUCGCUAGUAAUCGCGGAUCAGCACGCCGCGGUGAAUACGUUCCCGGGCCU